rnacentral:rRNA from 1 species
CUAGCUUGCUAGUUGCUGACGAGUGGCGGACGGGUGAGUAAUAUAUAGGGAUCUGCCUAAUAGUGGGGGACAACGUGUGGAAACGCACGCUAAUACCGCAUACGCUCUACGGAGGAAAGUGGGGGAUCUUCGGACCUCAUGCUAUUAGAUGAACCUAUAUCGGAUUAGCUUGUUGGUGAGGUAAUGGCUCACCAAGGCGACGAUCCGUAGCUGGUUUGAGAGAAUGAUCAGCCACACUGGGACUGAGACACGGCCCAGACUCCUACGGGAGGCAGCAGUGGGGAAUAUUGCACAAUGGACGAAAGUCUGAUGCAGCAAUGCCGCGUGUGUGAAGAAGGCCUUCGGGUUGUAAAGCACUUUCAGAUGUGAGGAAAAGCAGUCUAUUAAUACUAGAUUGCCGUGACGUUAACAUCAGAAGAAGGACCGGCUAACUCCGUGCCAGCAGCCGCGGUAAUACGGAGGGUCCAAGCGUUAAUCGGAAUUACUGGGCGUAAAGCGCGCGUAGGCGGAUAUUUAAGUCAGAUGUGAGAUCCCUGGGCUCAACCUAGGAACUGCAUUUGAAACUGGAUAUCUAGAGUAUGGUAGAGGUGAGUGGAAUUUCAGGUGUAGCGGUGAAAUGCGUAGAGAUCUGAAGGAACAUCAGUGGCGAAGGCGACUCACUGGGCCAUUACUGACGCUGAGGUGCGAAAGCGUGGGUAGCAAACAGGAUUAGAUACCCUGGUAGUCCACGCCCUAAACGAUGUCAACUAGGUGUGUGAGAGUCUAACUCUUGCGUAUCGAAGCUAACG